UACGGGGGGAGCUAGCGUUGUUCGGAUUUACUGGGCGUAAAGGGCGCGUAGGCGGCGUGACAAGUCACUUGUGAAAUCUCCGGGCUUAACUCGGAACGGUCAAGUGAUACUGUCGUGCUAGAGUACAGAAGGGGCAACUGGAAUUCUCGGUGUAGCGGUGAAAUGCGUAGAUAUCGAGAGGAACACCUGCGGCGAAGGCGGGUUGCUGGGCUGAUACUGACGCUGAGGCGCGAAAGCCAGGGGAGCGAACGGG
rnacentral:rRNA from 1 species